GGAGAAAAGUAUGAGCAAUGCGUUCAGGAAAUGAUAAAUAAAAAAUUCAUGAUUUAUGACGGUGGGGAUUAUGAUAAUACCACUAUAUGGAGACAAAGAGCUUAUAACACAAAGUGGAUCCAAGAUCGGAGUCUAAUAACUGCAAGUUUUGCACAUGAUUGGAAACAUUGUGGAUAUGCUUAUAAAAACUACAAAUCGCCAAUCGAAUAUUGUAAAAUGUAUGCAGAAUAUGAACCCAAUAUUGAACAAG